rnacentral:misc_RNA from 1 species
GAAAUGCGAUACGUAAUGCGAAUUGCAGAAUUCAGUGAAUCAUCAAAUCUUUGAACGCAACUUGCGCUCUUGGGAUAUGCCUAAGAGCAUGCCUUGUUGAGCGUCGGUUCUAUCUAUUUGCUCAUUUUUUGCUUUAUCUUUUUAAGGUAAAAAAAUGGUGAUUGGAAUUCUCUUUUUAUUAAGAGUAUUCUGAAACAUAUAUAUAAAAAACGCAUAGUUUAAAUUAAAAUUAAAUUAAAAACGCGUGGAUAACAUGAAACGCUGUUUUUUCUUUUGGUUUUAAAUUUAAUUUAUGCAUUUGAAAUUAAACUUUUCAAUUGUUUUAGAAAUAAGAUGAAUUGAAAAUAAAUGAAAUCAGAAUUUAGACCUCAACUAAGGUAAGAGUACCCGCUGAACUUAA